AGUGAACGCUGGCGGCAGGCCUAACACAUGCAAGUCGAACGGCAGCACAAGAGAGCUUGCUCUCUGGGUGGCGAGUGGCGGACGGGUGAGGAAUGCAUCGGAAUCUGCCCAUUUGUGGGGGAUAAUCUCGGGAAACCGGGACUAAUACCGCAUACGACCUACGGGUGAAAGCAGGGGAUCUUCGGACCUUGCGCAGAUGGAUGAGCCGAUGCCGGAUUAGCUAGUUGGAGGGGUAAAGGCCCACCAAGGCGACGAUCCGUAGCUGGUCUGAGAGGAUGAUCAGCCACACUGGGACUGAGACACGGCCCAGACUCCUACGGGAGGCAGCAGUGGGGAAUAUUGGACAAUGGGCGCAAGCCUGAUCCAGCCAUGCCGCGUGUGUGAAGAAGGCCUUCGGGUUGUAAAGCACUUUUGUUGGGAAAGAAAAGCAGCCGGUUAAUACCCGGUUGUCAUGACGGUACCCAAAGAAUAAGCACCGGCUAACUUCGUG
rnacentral:rRNA from 1 species